UACGUAGGUGGCGAUCGUUGUCCGGAAUUACUGGGUGUAAAGGGCGUGUAGGCGGGAAUGUAAGUCAGAUGUGAAAUACCGUGGCUCAACUGCGGGGCUGCAUCUGAAACUAUGUUUCUUGAGUGCUGGAGAGGAAAGCGGAAUUCCUAGUGUAGCGGUGAAAUGCGUAGAUAUUAGGAGGAACACCAGUGGCGAAGGCGGCUUUCUGGACAGUAACUGACGCUGAGGCGCGAAAGCGUGGGGAGCAAACAGG
rnacentral:rRNA from 1 species